rnacentral:rRNA from 1 species
AUGAGGUUUUUCCAAGCUUUUUAUGAUCAUGACAGUGAUCUGAGCGGCAUUAACACUGGCAACAUUGUGCUGCUCCCAAAGAAAGAGAACCCAACGGAUAUUAAGGAUUUCAGGCCAAUUGCUCUGGUCCACAGUAUACCCAAACUCGCAACAAAAAUCCUAGCAGUCCGGCUUCAAAAUUUCAUCCCGAGCCUCAUACACCCUCUACAAUUCUGGUUUUCUGCAUGGGAGAUGCAUAGCUGA